CAUGGCUCAGACUCCGCAGAGAGCAGAUUGCUGAUAAUGGCCAUCCCGUCUCCUGGCCCUCUCCCAGAAGAACCAUAUUUAAGCUCUCAGUUGAUGUGAAUGCCCGGAAAACAUUACUCUCCAGGUCACACUUGGAUCUACAUGAGAACCCGUCCUCUGUGCCACGGACCCUGCUAGAUCCGAGGACUACAAAAGAAGAAAAUGCAGUUCUUUUUUUCGAGGACCUUAUGGUCUAGGGACCUUCCCCAUUUCCCUCCUCUCUGCCUCACUGGCAUGGAGAAAAUCUCAAGUGAACAGACUGAAUGACAAAAGGAAGGAAAGAAAAAGUGUUAAAGCCAUAUGCCAGGCUAUGGCUUGGAUAAUAAUUUUGACUCAGCUUCCAGGACCAUGCUGAGAAUAGCGAGCAAAUUGCAUCCCAUGUUGUGCCAGCAUUUGGCUGGGUCAGCCAGCCACUUGGGUGAAGGCCUGGAAUUAAAAAACCUAUCUCAGUGGGACAUGACAGCAGAGAUUCAGUGUGAGCUUAAGAAGGAGGGAGAAUACAGAAGCGUUCAGCGGGGAGAGUGACAAGUUGAAGCAAUAGCCGGGGGAGUCUGAUGGAGGCAUUCUGAAUCGAGUGCAUUUUAUUGUGAACAACUCACAUUUCUUGAGUUCUUUCUGUGUGGUUGGCAUUGUUCUAAGUACUGGAAGAAAGUAGAAGAAAAGGGUUUGGGGGCUGGAGAUCAAGAUGUUCCAAGAAACAUCUGGCAGUAAUCAAUGCAAGUAAGGUAGGAGGUGGAGUAUGGAGGUGGUCCCGUCACAUUUUAGUGUGUUUCAGCUCUCUCCCUCCAUCCCUCACUCCAUUUCAGCACCCCCUUUCUCUACCGUCUCCCCAACAGCAUGUCCUGGGCCUCCAGACUCACAGGUAGCUCUGUGCUGCUAUCCCGGCCCCUCACAGAGACACCUUGCCCAAGUCUGCCCCCCUAUGCUAGGAUGACAGCCCCAAAUGCCUGCAGAUGCCAGUCAGGUCAGAUGAGUGAGUAAAGAGGGGUGUUACAGGGGACCAGUGGUGGGGGCUGUGCGGAAAUAGAUAGCUCCUCACCAUCUCAAAGGAGGAGCUGCUACUGCUCUGCCAGAGGAAUACUGUUGAUGUGAAUGGAACUGGGCAUUACUAGAUAGCCCAAGGUUCCAGGAGUGGGGAAAUGAGUUUAUAUGAGAUUUUCACUGUGUUUAAAUUUUGGAGAUCCAGUGAAUUUAAACAUUUUUUUCCCCACAGUUAGUAUUGG
rnacentral:lncRNA from 10 species